AAGUCAAACCAGUUCAUCGCUUGUUAUGCAAGAGGAAAGUCCGGACAGCAUAGAGCAGUAUGCUUCCUAACAGGAAGGGUCAAAAGAUACAGAUAGUGCAACAGAAAAUAAACAGCCAGAAAUGGUAAUGGUGAAAAGGUGAGGUAAGAGCUCACCGUAUUAGUGGUGACAUUAAUAGCUUGGCAAACCUCAUACGCUGCAAGACCAAAUAAACCAAGGUUACUUUAGUUGAAGAGUGGCUCGCUCAACUUGGAGGGUAGGUUGCUUGAGUUAAUUAGUGAUAAUUAACCUAGAUAAAUGAUGAACCUAGACAGAAUCCGGCUUACAGGUUUGACUUUUUU
rnacentral:RNase_P_RNA from 1 species